UUCGAAGAGGAAUCAACUGUCCUGGAUGAGGUCCAGUUGGUUGUGCCAUUGGAUGAUGUGCCGGAUGUACCACUGCUGCCAGCCAUCCUUGAGGAGGUGCCAGAUGUGCCGACUAUCCUUGAGGAGGCCACUGGUAAUUGGCAGUUGAUACCGAUUAGGUUUAGCUCCCUGUACUGUGGGCCUGUUGUGAUCAGGAACAAUGCCGGUCCG